AUUGAACGCUGGCGGCAGGCCUAACACAUGCAAGUCGAGCGGAGCGGCGGACGGGUGAGUAAUGCCUAGGAAUCUGCCUGGUAGUGGGGGAUAACGUCCGGAAACGGGCGCUAAUACCGCAUACUAUCAGAUGAGCCUAGGUCGGAUUAGCUAGUUGGUGGGGUAAAGGCCUACCAAGGCGACGAUCCGUAACUGGUCUGAGAGGAUGAUCAGUCAAACUGGAACUGAGAAACGGUCCCGACUCCUACGGGAGGCAGCAGUGGGGAAAAUUGGACAAUGGGGGAAAGGCUGAUCCAGCCAUCCCGGGUGUGGGAAGAAGGCCGUCGGGUUGUAAAACACUUUUGGCAGGAAAGCGGUACCUGCAGAAUAAGCACCGGCUAACUACGUGCCAGCAGCCGCGGUAAUUC
rnacentral:rRNA from 1 species